rnacentral:rRNA from 1 species
GACAGAGGGUGCAAACGUUGUUCGGAAUUACUGGGCGUAAAGCGCGUGUAGGCUGCUCAGAAAGUCGGAUGUGAAAGCCCUGGGCUUAACCUAGGAAGUGCAUUCGAAACUUCUGAGCUUGAGUUCUGGAGAGGAAGGCGGAAUUCUCGGUGUAGAGGUGAAAUUCGUAGAUAUCGAGAGGAACACCGGUGGCGGAAGGCGGCCUUCUGGACAGUGACUGACGCUGAGACGCGGAAAGCGUGGGGAGCAAACAGG